GGGACAUGAUGAUAUUAGUUGGUCCGUGUUUCUGAUUACAUGGUGACUGAUACUCCUUUACCAAUUCUGAUCCC
rfam:Musa acuminata subsp. malaccensis Doubled-haploid Pahang (DH-Pahang) genomic chromosome, chr11